rnacentral:rRNA from 1 species
AGCCUGAUCAGCCAUGCCGCGUGUGUGAAGAAGGCCUUCGGGUUGUAAAGCACUUUCAGUCGUGAGGAAGGUGGUAGUGUUAAUAGCACUAUCAUUUGACGUUAGCGACAGAAGAAGCACCGGCUAACUCCGUGCCAGCAGCCGCGGUAAUACGGAGGGUGCGAGCGUUAAUCGGAAUUACUGGGCGUAAAGCGCAUGCAGGUGGUUUGUUAAGUCAGAUGUGAAAGCCCGGGGCUCAACCUCGGAAUAGCAUUUGAAACUGGCAGACUAGAGUACUGUAGAGGGGGGUAGAAUUUCAGGUGUAGCGGUGAAAUGCGUAGAGAUCUGAAGGAAUACCGGUGGCGAAGGCGGCCCCCUGGACAGAUACUGACACUCAGAUGCGAAAGCGUGGGGAGCAAACAGGAUUAGAUACCCUGGUAGUCCACGCCGUAAACGAUGUCUACUUGGAGGUUGUGGCCUUGAGCCGUGGCUUUCGGAGCUAACGCGUUAAGUAGACCGCCUGGGGAGUACGGUCGCAAGAUUAAAACUCAAAUGAAUUGACGGGGGCCCGCACAAGCGGUGGAGCAUGUGGUUUAAUUCGAUGCAACGCGAAGAACCUUACCUACUCUUGACAUCCAGAGAACUUUCCAGAGAUGGAUUGGUGCCUUCGGGAACUCUGAGACAGGUGCUGCAUGGCUGUCGUCAGCUCGUGUUGUGAAAUGUUGGGUUAAGUCCCGCAACGAGCGCAACCCUUAUCCUUGUUUGCCAGCGAGUAAUGUCGGGAACUCCAGGGAGACUGCCGGUGAUAAACCGGAGGAAGGUGGGGACGACGUCAAGUCAUCAUGGCCCUUACGAGUAGGGCUACACACGUGCUACAAUGGCGCAUACAGAGGGCAGCAAGCUAGCGAUAGUGAGCGAAUCCCAAAAAGUGCGUCGUAGUCCGGAUUGGAGUCUGCAACUCGACUCCAUGAAGUCGGAAUCGCUAGUAAUCGUGGAUCAGAAUGCCACGGUGAAUACGUUCCCGGGCCUUGUACACACCGCCCGUCACACCAUGGGGAGUGGGCUGCAAAAGAAGUAGGUAGUUUAACCUUCGGGAGGACGCUUACCACUUUGGGGUUCAUGACUGGGGUGAAGC